CUGUGGUCUCGAUCUCCUGACCUUGUGAUCCGCCCGCCUCGGCCUCCCAAAGUGCUGGGAUUACAGGCUUGAGCCACCGCGCCUGGCCGAUAGUGCCUGUUUUUAAGAUCUGUUGAGUCGGCUAUAGUCUGGCUAAGGAAGAAGCGUUUGCAUACUGAUUCCAUCAUUUAAUCUUUAAAAGUAUGUGUUCUAAAAAUGUAACCAGAAUGAUUCUUCAAUAGAAAUGAGAUUUGGUGGAGUCUGGAUUGCCUGUUUUGUAUAUAAUAUAUACUUAAGAUAUAUAAUACCACCUCGUUUUCUGGGCAUUAUUUCCUAAUUGUUGAUGUUUCAGGCUUUUGAUAAGUCAUUUUAUAUAUUUCAAAUUUCAGUUGGAAUAAGUAUUUAUGGCAAGUGGAGUUUUAUGUACUUUCAGAAGACCAUCAGGAAAAGACAGGACAAAGAAGUCAAACAAAGCCUUUGCAAAUAUUAGAGGACCUUAGCCAAUUACCAACAAGUAUUUAAUAGGGAAGUUACAAAUUGGUUCUCUUAGCAAAUUAAACAUUUAAAAAAUAGUUUUAAUGUGCCUUGGGCAUCUUGAAAGGAAGAGUGUGAUAUAAUUUAUGCUCAGUGUUAACUGGUCAGUUUACAUUGUAUUUAUUAAGCCUGCUGAAAAAUGAGGUUUUAAGGAAGAAAAUGCAGAUUAUUUUAGGGUAAACAGGCCAGGUGUCCUUUGAAGAACUUUGUUUACAUCAAAUUGAUGAAAUUACAGUCAGUGAUUCCUUACCUUUUUGCUAGUUGUACUUUGAAAUUGUUAUGGGUUCGAUUUCCAAAAUAUGUUAUUUAUUUUUAAAGGAAUAAGGUGUGCUGUGUAUUUGUUGAUUAAAAACCAUUUGUCUUGCAGAGUAUCCUUUUUUGAAGGAAAUAUACAUCCUUAUAACACAUCAGACUCUUGCUUGGUCGCCCAGGCUGAAGUGCAGUGGCAUGAUGGUUCACUGCAGCCUCGAGCUCCUGGGGCCAAUUGAUCCUCCCAUGUGAGCCUCCCAAGUAGCUGGGACUACAGGCACAUGCUACCACACAGGCUUGAGAUUUUAACCAUGUAAAAGCAAAGCCAUGGACAUUGUACAUUUGAAGGUAGUGAAGUGAAAAGUUUAACAAGAAUCUCCAUGGACACUGUACAUUUGAAGGUAGUGAAGUCAAAAGUUUAACAAGAAUCUUCUGAAUGUCUUAACAUUCUCUGGUAUCCAGUAUAAGUCAGCCCAAGCACGGAUGAUCACACUAAAUUAUAUUGUCUGCCAAAUCUCUUAA